rnacentral:other from 2 species
CUUUCCCUGCCUGGUGCGUGGACUUGUGUAUAAAUAACCCUACACUUUUAAAUCGGGAGCUUUGCUCCGGCGGCAGACCGCAGACCUCCCGGCUUUUGCUGGAAGAAGGGAGUGGAAACCCGUUGGGCGGGCACCCACCUGUCUUUCGUAGGCAGGUUAUUUCGCACAUUACGGCCAGGCGGGAUUUUU